AGGCUCCUAGUAAAGUGGCGAACGGGUGAGUAACACGUGCGUAACCUACCUUUGGAAGGGGGAUAGCAUUUCGAAAGAGGUGAUAAUACCCCAUAGAGUUGUGUGGCAUAAGCCAUACAAUAAAAGAUGGCCUCUAUACAAAGCUAUUGUCCAUAGAUGGGCGCGCGGCCUAUUAGCUAGUUGGUGAGGUAAUGGCUCACCAAGGCGACGAUGGGUAGCUGUCCUUAGAGGGUAAUCGGCCAUACUGGAAUUGAGAUACGGUCCAGACUCCUACGUGAGGCAGCAAGUCGGAAUAUUUGUCAAUGGGCGAAAGCUUGAACAAGCAAUGCCGCGUGAGCGAUGAAGGCCUUCGGGUUGUAAAGCUCUGUGUUUUGGGAAGAAAAACUGGCACGUUAAUAACCUGCCAGAUUGACGGUACCAUAAUAGAAAGCCCCGGCUAACUACGUGCCAGCAGCCGCGGUGAUACGUAGGGGGCAAGCGUUGUUCGGAAUUACUGGGUGUAAAGGGCGUACAGGCGGCUGAGUAAGUCGGAUGUGAAAUCCUUGGGCUUAACCUGAGAACUGCAUUUGAUACUGCUCGGCUUGAGGUUAGGAGAGGAAAGCGGAAUAUGUGGUGUAGCGGUGAAAUGCGCAGAUAUCACAUAGAACACCGGUGGCGAAGGCGGCUUUCUGGCCUAACUCUGACGCUGACGCGCGAAAGCUAGGGGAGCGAACGGGAUUAGAUACCCUGGUAGUCCA
rnacentral:rRNA from 1 species